UACGUAGGGGCUAGCGUUGUCCGGAUUUAUUGGGCGUAAAGAGCUCGUAGGCGGUCCAUCGCGUCGGGAGUGAAAAGCUGGGGCUUAACCCCAGUCCUGCUUCCGAUACGGGUGGACUAGAGGUAUGCAGGGGAGAAUGGAAUUCCUGGUGUAGCGGUGAAAUGCGCAGAUAUCAGGAGGAACACCGGUGGCGAAGGCGGUUCUCUGGGCAUUACCUGACGCUGAGGAGCGAAAGCAUGGGGAGCAAACAGG
rnacentral:rRNA from 1 species